UACGGAGGGUGCAAGCGUUAUCCGGAUUCACUGGGUUUAAAGGGUGCGUAGGCGGGUUGGUAAGUCCGUGGUGAAAUCUCCGAGCUUAACUCGGAAACUGCCGUGGAUACUAUCAAUCUUGAAUAUCGUGGAGGUAAGCGGAAUAUGUCAUGUAGCGGUGAAAUGCUUAGAUAUGACAUAGAACACCAAUUGCGUAGGCAGCUUACUACACGAUCAUUGACGCUCAGGCACGAAAGCGUGGGGAGCAAACAGG
rnacentral:rRNA from 1 species